rnacentral:rRNA from 1 species
UGCGUAGGCUGUUUGAUAAGUCAGACGUGAAAUCCCUCGGCUCAACCGGGGAACUGCGUUUGAUACUGUUGGACUAGAGUCCUGGAGAGGGUGGCGGAAUUCCUGGUGUAGGAGUGAAAUCCGUAGAUAUCAGGAGGAACACCGGUGGCGAAGGCGGCCACCUGGACAGGUACUGACGCUGAGGCACGAAAGCGUGGGGAGCAAACA